AACGAUGAUUCUGCGCAUGUGCACGGCGGGAGGAGAGCGAGAGUUGGAGUUUGCGCAUGCGCGAAAAUGUCGGGCAAGCAAGAGAAGUGGGGGUUAAGAGGCGGUAUUGACAGCUGUGGAGGCAGCCCGCGUUCCCGGCAUGCCCCGGGGCGGCGGGGUUGGCUCUAACGAAUUUGAAUGAGGAGCCUCAGCGCUUUCGGCGCCAUUUUCGAGUGAUGCCUGAUCUCAUCAAUCUAGCGGGAGAGACAGGAUAACCUGUCCGAGAGUAUAGCGCCACUAUGACUCCGCCGGAAAAAUUACUUUAAAAAUCACCAAAAAUUACUUGGAGCAAAGGGCAGUCGGCGGAGCUUUGCCAAGGCUGGCGCAGUCGGUUUUGACCUGUAGCAGAGAACCAAUUCUGGAGAACAGCCUCACUUCUUUGAUUGAAUACUCACAUAAUGCAUUGGAACAUGACAUGAGAUUAAGGUUUAAUAAUGAUAGAAUGAAGACCAUAAUAAAAGAGAUCUCUACUUAGCUCAGCAAUUCUUACCUUUCUUACCUAUUUGAUGAAGAUGUCUUUUGAAAGGUGUACUGCAAGGAACAAAAUGUUUGUAAAUUCUGCUUUUACCAAGGUGGAUAAUUACUGUACCUUCCUCAUGAAAAAAGUUUUAUUUAAAGUGUUAUUUCUCAUUGAAUAUUAUCAAAAAGGAAAAAAAAAAUGACCUAAACUUUUGAGAUAGAUUUGGCUCUAGUGUAAAUUUUGAUACCACCAUUGCCGCCCUCCCCUCAAAAAAGGUGAGACCUGACUAAACUACUGGUACUUAGACCAUGUGCAGAAGGAACUGAAAAUGGAAACAGAAACACGUCUGUACAGAGCAGAGUGUCAGACAAUAGCGCACUUUAGUAGAGGGCAAUAAAUGCCACAUGAGAUGAUCACCUCAGCAGAAAACUGUAAGUAACGGGGACUUGCAGGAGAAUUGAACAGUUGUUUCUGCUGACUCAGUAAAAAUGUCUUCAUUUUAUAAUUUGUGGCCUGCAUGCUUGUAAAUUAAGAUGCAUUGAGUUGUCAAGUAAUGGACUUGUCUGGUUUGUAGGUAGGAAUUUAAGCCAAAAUUGAAUGCAACAUUCCCCCAAAAGUAACCUGGGAUCUGUGCCAUAAAGCCUAAGGCAAAGGUUACAUGAAUUUGGAUUACUAGGUUAGAACUAGGCUAUUGAGCCUUUGCCUAGAAAACCAAUUAGAGGAUUUUAGUCUUGAUAUAGCAGGGAAUAGGGAGGCAUUAUAGCCUAUUGAUUUGUUUGGAAUUAAAUGUGGCAAUACUAUAUAUAGAAAUGUCUAAGAAAUAAAGUAUGGUAGCAAGGAAACUGGGCAUGUGACUAUUGUAGUAAUCUAGGGGUGAAGAAAACCUGAACAGCAAUAGUGGCAUGAGAAUGGAGGUGAAAGAAUAAAUUUAAGAUAUUUCAAAGGAAAAAAUUGUUGAAUAUCAUGAUGGGUUGGAUAAAAGGGAGGUGUAAAAGAUUAUACAUUUUCUGUAAUGGAAGACAAUGGAGUUAUCACUGAAAGAAAGGAGAUAGUUAAGAAACUAGUUUAAGGCUGGGUGCGGUGGCUCAUGCCUGUAAUCUUAACACUUGGGGAAGCAGAGGUGGGUGAAUCACUUGAGGUCAGGAGUUCAAGACCAGCCUGGCCAACAUGGUGAAACCCCACCUCUACUAAAAAUACAAAAAUCAGUCAGACGUGGUGGCUCAUGCCUGUAAUCCCAGCUACUCAGGAGACUGAGGCAGGAGAAUCGCUUGAACCUGGGCAGUGGAGACUGCAGUGAGGCAAGAUCAUGCCACUGCACUCAAGCCUGGGUGAUAGAGUGACUCUGUCAAAAAAAGAAAAGAAAAGAAACUAGUUUAAGAGGGGGAAAAUGUGUUCCAUUUCUGCAAUAUAUUUAAGAUGAUAUUUAGACAUUAAGCUUGAAAUGUCUUCAUUUAAGGUUGCUGGAUAUACAGAACUGGAAUUCUAUGUAAAAGUCAGGCUGGAGACGUAAAUUUGGCAGUUACAUAAGGCUGAUAAGGGUAGAAAAGCUCACUGAAGCUCUUUAAGAAGGACAGUGGGUCCCUUUUAAAAAAAUAUAUGAACACACAUUUAUGUAAAUAAACUAUCAUUAGGUAUGUAAUCUUAAACAUUUCUAGAAUUGAAUAAGAACUCUCCCUUUUUUCCUUAGAGGGUCGUAUCUCAAGCCCGUGCCUGUUAGAAAACCCCUACACUUACAUCAGUUAUGAGAGUCAAUGACUGAAAUGUGUUAAUACUCUUGAACCUUUCCUUCUCUUAAUAAAACCAAGAUCUUUCCCAGUUUUAGGCUAAGGGAAUGAAAUUGAGAACUUAAAGUCAAAUAAUUCAGUCAGUUAAAACUUUAUAAAAUUGACAUGGCUUUAAUUUCUCAAAUGGAAAGUAAGUAAUUGAAUUGGGGGAAGUGUGCUAGUCUCCAGUUUCAAGAAACAGUACAGCACAAAGACCUGGCAUUCUAGCUGAAGAGCUGUAAUAAUAAACAGAAAUUUGAAAACCAGGAAGACAAGUUUUCCAAGAGUGCAACUGUGGCAUUUCAAAGGAGAUUUAACAAGAAAUUCCGGAAGAUGGCCAAAAAUAGGUUUAGAUAAUUGAGAUUCUCUAUUUGAAUACUUGUUUUUGAUGGAGAAACACACUUAAGAGGAAAUGAAGGUUCUGUCUAAGAUCUGAAACUUUUUCUCACCCUAAAGCAGGUUUGCUUCUGAAGAAAACUAUUAGCAAAAAAAAAAAAAAAAAA